rnacentral:rRNA from 1 species
UACAGAGGUCCCAAGCGUUGUUCGGAUUCACUGGGCGUAAAGGGUGCGUAGGCGGUCGGGUAAGUCUGAUGUGAAAUCUCACAGCUUAACUGUGAAACUGCAUUGGAUACUAUCCGGCUAGAGGAAUGGAGGGGAGACUGGAAUACUUGGUGUAGCAGUGAAAUGCGUAGAUAUCAAGUGGAACACCAGUGGCGAAGGCGAGUCUCUGGACAUUUCCUGACGCUGAGGCACGAAAGCCAGGGGAGCAGACGGG